rnacentral:lncRNA from 1 species
UUUACUCUUAUAUUGGGGAUGUGGUCCUUUAAUUCCAACUAGACACAACACAUUCCUCUGUUCCAUUUAUCUUCUCUCUCAUUUUCAAAGGUUCCCUUAUAAUGGAAUCGCUUCAGUGGAAGACAAGAUGAGGAAAGUGAGGUUGAGAUGGUUCGGUCAUCUGAUGACGAGGGGCAUGGAUACCUCAGUGCGGGAAGUGUGAGAGACUGACUAGGGAUAUAUGUAGAGACAGAUCGAAGAAAUAUUAGAGGGAGGUGAUUAGACAUGACAUGACAUGGAACAGCUUCAACUUACCGAAUACAUGACCCUAGAUAGGAAGUUGUGGAGGAGACGGAUUAGGGUAGAAGGUUAGUAUGAGUUUAGGAU